AGGGGAAUAGAUCAAUGGUAGAACACGUGCUUAGCAUGCAUGGGGUCCUGGGUUCAACCCCAGUACCUCCA
rnacentral:tRNA from 1 species